rnacentral:rRNA from 1 species
UACGGGGGGGGCAAGCGUUGUUCGGAAUUACUGGGCGUAAAGGGCUCGUAGGUGGCCAACUAAGUCAGACGUGAAAUCCCUCGGCUUAACCGGGGAACUGCGUCUGAUACUGGAUGGCUUGAGUUUGGGAGAGGGACGCGGAAUUCCAGGUGUAGCGGUGAAAUGCGUAGAUAUCUGGAGGAACACCGGUGGCGAAGGCGGCGUCCUGGACCAACACUGACGCUCAUGUGCGAAAGCGUGGGGAGCAAACAGG